AUGGCAGCUGGUAAAAAUCAAGGUGACCCCAAGAAAAUGGCUCCUCCCCCAAAGGAGGUAGAAGAAGACAGUGAAGAUGAGGAAAUGGCAGGAGAUGAAGGUGAUGAUAGCAGUGGAGAAGAGGUUAUCGUCCCUCAGAGAAAAGCCAAGAAGGCUACUACAACUCCAGCAAAGAAGGUGAUGUUUUCCCCCAACAAAAAAAGUCACAGUUGCCACACUGGCCAAGAAAGCAGUUGUCAUCCCUGGCAAAAAGGCAGUGGCUACACCAGCCAAAAAGACCGUUGUGCGGGCCAAAGCAGUAGCAACACCUGGCAAGAAGGGGGUCACACCAGGCAAGGCACUGGUAGCAACCCCUGGUGAGAAAGGAGCAGCCACCCCAGCCAAGGGAGCAGAGAAUGGUAAGAAUGCCAAGAAGGAAGACAGUGCUGAGGAAGAUGAUGAUGACAGUGAAGGGGGGACUAGGAGGAGGAGGAGGAAGAUGAGGAGCAGGAGGAGGAAGAAGAGGAGGAGGAGGAGGAAGAAGAGGAGGAGGAGGAGGAAGAAGAGGAAGAGCCUGUUAAAGAAGCACCUGGAAAAUGAAAGAAGGCAAUGGCCAAACAGAAAGCAGCUCCAGAAGCCAAGAAGCAGAAAGUAGAAGCUACAGAACCAACGACAUCAUUCAAUCUUUUUGUUGGAAACCUGAACUUGAGCAAAUCUGUUCCCGAAUUAAAAACGGGCAUCAGUGACCUUUUUGCUAAAAAUGAUCUUGUCGUUGUGGAUGUCAGAAUUGGUGUGUCCAGGAAGUUUGUCUAUGUGGAUUUUGAAUCUGCUGGAGACCUGGAAAAAGCUUUGGAACUCACUGGUUUACAAGUCUCUGGCAAUGAAAUUAAACUAGAAAAACGAAAGGGAAAAGACAGUAAGAAAGAUCGAGAUACAAGAACACUUUUGGCUAAAAAUCUGCCUUACAAAGUUACUCAGGAUGAACUAAAAGAAGUAUUUGAAGAUGCUGAGGAGGUCAGAUUAGUCAGCAAGGAUGGAAAGAGUAAAGGGAUUGCUUAUAUUGAAUUUAAGACUGAAGCUGAUGCAGAAAAAAACCUUGGAAGAAAAGCAGGGCACAGAGAUAGGUAGGCGGGCUAUCCCCCUGUUCUACACCGGAGAGAAGGGUCAAAGUCACGACUCUAUAGGUGGCAAGAGUAGCACUUGGAGUGGUGAAUCAAAAACACUGGUUUAAAGCAACCUCUCUUACAAUGCAACAGAAGAAACCCUUCAGGAAGUAUUUGAGAAGGCAACUUUUAUUAAAGUGCCCCAGAACCAAAAUGGCAAAUCUAAAGGGUAUGCAUUUAUGGAAUUUGCUUCAUUUGAAGAUGCUAAAGAAGCUUUAAAUUCCUGUAAUAAAAGGGAAAUUGAGGGCAGAGCAAUCAGACUAGAGUUGCAAGGACCCAGCGGAUCACCUAAUGCCAGAAGCCAGCCGUCCAAAACUUUGUUUGUCAAAGGUCUGUCUGAGGAUACUACAGAAGAUACAUUAAAGGAGUCGUUUGAUGGCUCUGUUCGAGGAAAGGCAGUCACUGACUGGGAGACUGGGUCUUCCAAAUGGUUUGGUUUUGUAGACUUCAACAGUGAGAAAGAUGCCAAAGCUUCCAAGGAGGCCAUGGAAGAUGGUGAAAUUGAUGGAAACAAAGUUACUUUGGACUGGGCCAAGCCUAAGGGUGAAGGUGGCUUUGGAGGUUGUGGUGGAGGCCGAGGUGGCUUUGGAGGCCGAGGUGGUGGCAGAGGAGGCCGAGAUGGAUUUGGUGGCAGAGGCUGGGGAGGCUUUGGAGGGCGAGGAGACUUCCGAGGAGGCAGAGGAGGAGGGGGAGACCACAAACCACAAGGAAAGAAGACGAAGUUUGAAUAGUUUCUUCCAUCCCUCUGUCUUUCCCUCUUCUGUUUGAAAGAAAAGGACUCUGGGGUUUUUAUUCUGUUACCUGAUCAAUGACAGAGCCUUUUGAGGACAUUCCAAGAUAGUAGAGUCCUGUGGUCUACUUGGAAAUUUGUAUAGAUAACAUUUCAAGGGAGAUACCCUGUUGGUUUUGACUGGAUAUUCAUAUAAAUUUUUUAAAAGAGAAGAGUGAUAGAGCUAAUCCUUAUCUGUAAGUUUUGAAUUUAUAUUGUUUCUUCCCAUGUACAAAACCAUUUUUUUCC